rnacentral:rRNA from 1 species
AUUGAACGCUGGCGGCAGGCCUAACACAUGCAAGUCGAGCGUGCGGCGGACGGGGGAGUAAUGUAUAGGGACUGCCCGAUAUAUGGGGAUCACUACGGGAAACGGUAGCUAAUACCGCAUACUAUCUGCUAACCCAUAUGGGAUUAGCUGGUAGGUGGGGUAAUGGCUCACCUAGGCGACGAUCCCUAGCUGGUCUGAGAGGAUGAUCAGCCACACUGGGACUGAGACACGGCCCAGACUCCUACGGAGGCAGCAGUGGGGAAUCUUGGACAAUGGGCGAAAGCCUGAUGCAGCCACGCCGCGUGUAUGAAGAAGGUCCUAGGGUUGUAAAGUACUGUUAGUCGGGAGGCGUUAUCGAACGAAGAAGCACCGGCUAACUCCGUGCCAGCAGCCGCGGUAAUAC